rfam:Microdochium bolleyi strain J235TASD1 unplaced genomic scaffold Micbo1qcscaffold_21, whole genome shotgun sequence.
GGUCUCGUGGCCCAAUGGCAAGGCGUCUGACUACGACGAUCUGAGUUUCCAACUCAGUUCUGAAUUGCAAUCAGGAGAUUCUGGGUUCGAUCCCCAGCGAGAUCA